rnacentral:rRNA from 1 species
AUUGAACGCUGGCGGCAUGCUUUACACAUGCCAGUCGAACGGCAGCGCGGGCUUCGCCCUGGCGGCGAGUGGCGGACGGGUGAGUAAUGCAUCGGAACGUGCCCGGUAGUGGGGGAUAGCGCGCCGAAAGCGGGGUUAAUACCGCAUACGACCUGAGGGUGAAAGCGGGGGACCGACAGACCUCGCGCUAUUAGAGGAGCCGAUGUCGGAUUAGCUAGUUGGUGGGGUAAAGGCUUACCAAGGCGACGAUCCGUAGCUGGUCUGAGAGGAGGACCAGCCACACGGGAACGGGGACACGGCCAAGACUCCUAGGGGAGGAAGCGGUGGGAAAUUUUGGCAAAGGGGGGAAACCCUGACCCAGCAAGGCCGGUGGCGGGAAGAGGGCUUCGGGGUUGAAAACCGCUUUUGUUGGGGAAGAAAGCCGUUGGGUUAAAACCCGGGGGGGAGGAGGGUACAGGAGGAAUAAGAACGGCUAAAUUAGUG